rnacentral:rRNA from 1 species
UUGAGGCGCGCUUAACAUGCAAGUCGAACGGUAACAGGGAGCUUGCUCCGCUGACGAGUGGCGAACGGGUGAGUAAUACAUCGGAACGUGCCCAGUAAUGGGGGAUAGCUCGGCGAAAGCCGGAUUAAUACCGCAUACGCCCUGAGGGGGAAAGUGGGGGACCGCAAGGCCUCACGUUAUUGGAGCGGCCGAUGGCUGAUUAGCUAGUUGGUAGGGUAAAGGCCUACCAAGGCGACGAUCAGUAGCUGGUCUGAGAGGACGAUCAGCCACACUGGGACUGAGACACGGCCCAGACUCCUACGGGAGGCAGCAGUGGGGAAUUUUGGACAAUGGGGGAAACCCUGAUCCAGCAAUGCCGCGUGUGCGAAGAAGGCCUUCGGGUUGUAAAGCACUUUUGUCAGGGAAGAAAUCCUUUGGGCUAAUACCCUAGGGGGAUGACGGUACCUGAAGAAUAAGCACCGGCUAACUACGUGCCAGCAGCCGCGGUAAUACGUAGGGUGCAAGCGUUAAUCGGAAUUACUGGGCGUAAAGCGUGCGCAGGCGGUUGUGUAAGACAGGUGUGAAAUCCCCGGGCUUAACCUGGGAAUUGCAUUUGUGACUGCACGACUAG